rnacentral:lncRNA from 1 species
CCGCUGUAAUAUUUACAAGUUAGGUCAAUUAGUCAAUUUGCAGAAAAACCAGGAAGAGGAUUCGGAUCCGUUCUUUUACCUAGAAUGGACUGUUUAUAUUAUAAUGGAACAGAAUCACAAAAAAACAAUGUAAACGACGCCAACCUACAGGCAUAAACAGAACAGAACAGAAGGCCCCUCUCUAUGGGACAUUUCAGCGAACACUUGGUGGGCACUGUGGUCGUCCACCAACCCUCCAAAGGGUCAAGACUGGAGCUUCCGUGGAGGAUUUCGGGGAGUCACGGGGUCAAGCGACCCCGUGUGUCCUUCUGUGAUCAGCCUCAUUGAGGCUCAAACAACUUCAUUUACUAGGUUUUCGUGAAGAGAAAACACACAGAACCUACAAAGCUUUCAACUUGCCAAAAAUCUGUGAAACUGAGCUGAAAACGAAGGAAGCAAUGGAAUAGCAUUAUCCAAUUCAAUGGUCAGUGACAUAUGAACUUACUAAAUUAUAUUUAUUUUAUUGUUGGAUAAAUAUUAAAAUUUUCAGUCGCUAUAUAGGGUCACAAGAGCAUUCGUUUUUAUAAGACUUUCUAGGAAAGUGAAUCAAUGACCUAGGUUGCCUGGUCUCAAUAGCUUUCCAUUCGUUUAGAGGAAACUUUAGCAUGAGCAUGAACCUGUCACACUCAAUGUGAAGAUUACUUUGCUUCUGUGAGCUUGCAACCUAUUUGACCAAAGAGAGAAGAAAAGUAAAAAAGAAAA